GGACCAGAUAGUAGAAGUAUAGGCUUUGUGGGCCAUAUAGUCACAACUAUUCAACUCUGCCAUAAUAGCUUAAAAGUAGCCAUAGAUAAUACAAAACUAAAUGAACACAGCUAUGUUCCAGUAAACCUUUAUCUAUGGACACUGAAAUUUGAAUGUCAUAUACUUACCAUGUGUCAUAGAACGUUUUUGUUUUGCUUUUUGUCUACUUUUUGAAUGCAUAAAAGUCAUUUUUAGCUCAUUGGCCAUACAAAAACAGGUGGUAUGCAAGAUUUGGCUUGAGGACUAUAGUUUGCUGGCACUGUUCUAAGCUAUCAUUGACAGUAUUCACUCAAUAAAGGUUACUCCUGAUCUCGUGAACUGCCCACCUUAGCCUCUCAAAGUGCUGGGAUUACAGAUGUGAGCCACUGCACCCGGCCGUUUACUUUUUGAGACUGUCACAUAAAUGAAAUUACUCAGUAUGUAGCCUUUUAAGAUUGGCUUUUUUUCACUAAGCACAAUGCCUCUGAAAUUCACCCACGUUGUUGUGUGCGUUCAUUUUCUUUUCCUUUUCAUUUUAGAGCUAUAUAUAAAUGUAUCACGAUUUAUUUAUCCAUUCACUCAUUGAAGAACAUUUGGGUUGUUUCCAGUUAUUGCUGAUUACAAACAAUACCUCCAUAAAUAUUCAUGUACAUGUAUUUGAGUAAACAUAAGUUUUCGGUUAACUUGGGCAGUUACCCAAGAGUGGGAUUGCUGGGUCAUAUUGUAAGUUUAACUUAAUAAGGAAUUACUAAACAGUUUUCCAG
rnacentral:lncRNA from 1 species